GUCUGUAGUAGAUUGAGCAAAAGUCAUUCCAGUCUUCUGUCAUUAAUCCCAUUUCCACACGAAAUGUAGUAACUCAAGUCACCAACGUAUUUUCUUCAAUGUAAUCGAAUUUUCUUAAGAAAUCAAUAAAUUUUGCAAUUGCAAAUCUAUAAAAAUGUAAUUCCACAACGACCAACAAGCAAAUUGUGCAUAUUUUUAAUGAUAUUCAUGAAAAACUAAGAAAUAAUAUUUUGACAGCAAAAUCGACCAUCACUAGAUGUCAUUCGAAUGGAAUCGCCACCAUAUUGACAGUUCUGCAUUUGUUAUUUUAUCGGAUUUCGUUUUUCUAUCUCUUUAUCCGUGAAAUUGUUAUUGUUCGCUUUAAAUGCAUACAUUUUUUAAUAAAAAAUCUUACAAAUAAAAUUAACACAAUUACAAACUAUUAACUAUUAAAAUGUACAAUUGAUUGAGUGAAAAACUUAUAGAAAAACACAAUUGAAAAACUUAUUACUAGCGAAGAAGAAAAAAUUGAAUUGUAUUAUUAGAAAAUACCAACCCAACCCGACCCAUCGUCCGACCAACCAACUAUUCGUUCGUUCGUUCGUUGUUGCCCGUCAUUAUUGAGUUGAAAAAGAAUAACCAAAUAAAUUUUGACUUUAUUGCUGGAUUUAUUUUUAUUGAAAAAGGGGUGAUGGGGUGGAAUUUAUGCAUUUAAUUUUAAUCAACAAACCAAAUAAGGCUUUAAAAGUUAAUACUUAAAUAAAAAUGUGGAACUCUUGUGAACGUUAGUGAAAUAAAAAUAGCCUGACAAAAGAAAGAAGAAGAAAAAUAACAAUUGGGAGUUGGAAGACUACGCACAAACAUAGUGAUAAACUCCAGAACGGUUGGUUGUUAGUUCUUUCUUCGUCGAUUGUCCAAGGCAGACAACAAUGGCAGCUAACAGCAGAACCGAACUCUACUUACGGCCACUGCCAUUUUUAGAUUCAAAGUGGCUGCGUGCUGAUCUUAUAUCAAAUCUACGUAAUGUAGAAGACACAGCGGUGUUGUGGAACAAUUUAAUUCAAGAUUGUGAAUUAGUUUCUUCCCAGGCUGCGCCCGUUGUCAAUAUAGCUGGGAACCUUUCAUAUUUAGGGGAUGAUGGAAAACACUAUUGUGGGGUUGAGAAACUGAUGUGUCUGUGUUGUUCUUGCUAUUGUGGGCCAUUAUCGGGAUGCAAUUGUGGAUCGUGUCGUUUGUUAGACUCGGAUUUGGCCAUUAAAAAAAUAACGACAAAUCCUAGUGUUCCCACAACGAUUUCAUCAGAUUCAUUGUUUGAAUCGUGGUUGUGGGGCCAAACACCAAAUGAAGAGCAGAAGGCAAAUUGCUUAAAGACUUUGUUGGGCGAGUUGCAUGAAAUUUCUCUACAAGCUGCAGGUAACUGUUUGUCGUCGGUGCACCUCCGACAGCAAUUAUACAUCUAUGAGCGGUAUUACGUUGCUUUGGCACGGUGUAAGCAGCAAUCAGGACUGAAUUCAUGUAAGCGUUUUAGUCAAGAUGCAAGUGUUGCAACUACCGUUACCAUAACUACAAAUGCUCCAGCUGGAAAUCAAUCAACAAUGGAGAAGUCAUUUAUGGCGGCAAAAUUGAAAUCAAUCGACCUUGCGAUGGGUAUCACCACUAAUUCAACAAAAGAUAAUAACGAACGUGCUACUAUGGGUUUGGCUCGUGUCGGCACCAGAGCGGCUUUGAACUUUUCAUUUGCCUUCUUGCGUCGCGCAUGGCGAUCUGGUGAAGAUACAGAAAUGUGCAGUGAGCUUUUAAGUGAAGCAUUGGAAUCAUUACAAGAUCUACCAGAAGCAUCACUUUUUGAUGCAACGCAGGUUUCUCCUCUUUGGAUAGAAGUAUUGGAACGUUCUAUCAAAUUUCUGCGACAAGUUGCACUUGGUGACAUAAUGGGUGGACGUUGCAUCGCCCCAAUGGAAGAUCGGCACAUUGCCUUGUGUUUACUCCUAGAAUUAGGUGCUCAAAAAGGUACUUUAAGUGCGUCGUUAGAAGCCAUAGUUCUUCUUUUAAUGCUUUAUGAAAAAGAGAAGGAAACCGACGAUAACCGCGAUACUCCACAGAAUACUGGAGCGCCACUUGUACCUAUACUCAGACGUUAUGAAAGCAUCGGAAACUAUGGUAUCCCAUCAUCAUCUACAGAUAUUUUACCAGCAAGUGCAACGGAAUCAUUCUUACGAUUUCUCACCCUACCUGAUCAAGAAAAUGCAAACGUAGAUCUUAAACAAUCAGCCGUCGUAUUAGUCUCGCACCUAGACCGUUUAGCAAAACCACAUAUGCCAACUGGUACGGCGAUGCCAGCAGUUUCUAAAAUUAAAACAAAUGCAACUGUAGAAUGUCAGUCGCCUACACUGUCAACACAUACAUCUCAUGAUCAGCAACAAGUAUUCGCAUUGGGUUGGCUUCAACUUUGCAAUGACCACUAUGGAUUCACAGCCGAACCCUCUGUGGGCAUACCAAUGCCUGGAGUGCAAAGCAACUAUCCAUUUUACUCUGCUCCCAUAGUGAACUUUAACUUUAAGGUGAGGCAGGUUGUUUUUUCAGAGGAAAAUGUACUUUUUCUCACACAAUGUGGCAAGGUAUAUACUUGGAAAAUUUCCAAACCUGAAUUAGACCCAGUGUUGGUAAAUGAGUUGUCGGAAACAAGCGUGCAGAGUAUUUCAGCGCAUUGUGAGGGUAGGCAUUAUUUGGCUUUAGACUCAAAUGGAUACGCAUAUUCUUGGGGAAGUGGAGAAGGGGGCCGGUUAGGACAUGGAGAUGCACUCCCACUUGAGGAUCCUCAAAAAAUUAGCACUUUGGAAAACAAUGUUCGAAGUAUUCACUGUGGAUGUACGUACAGCGCAGCUAUUACUAUAAAUGGUAAUCUUUACACUUGGGGCAGAGGCACAUAUGGUCGCCUGGGACAUGGAAACUCUGAUGAUAAGUUCACCCCAACUCUUGUCAAAUCGCUGCUUGAAUAUGACAUCGUCGAUGUGGCACUUGGAAGCGGCGAUUCCCACACACUUUGCGUCACGGCGGAAGGACUAUUGUUUUCUUGGGGCGAUGGAGAUUAUGGAAAAUUAGGAAAUGGUUCGUGCAAUGGGUCCCAACUACCUAUUCAUAUUGAUACUUUGCCAAGAGUUCAAAGAGUUUAUACGGGAUCUCAAUUUAGUUUAGCUCUGACCUGUGAUGGAAAGAUAUACACAUGGGGGAAAGGACUUGGUGGACGACUGGGCAUUGGUUGUAUGGACAAAAGCAUUCAAGGAGUAGUGGAAAUUGUUAAUACACCUCGGCUUAUAAAUGCACUUGAAGGAAAGAUCAUUGUUAGUGUAGCAGUUGGUGCUGCUCAUUGCUUAGCUCUUAGCAGCACAGGCGAAGUUUUUGGUUGGGGCCGUAAUGACUAUCAACAAGUCUGUCCGCAAGGCAUAUCAAAAGAUCCAAUUUUAUCGUCGCCAAUUUUAGCCACUCACCCUUCUGUGCGCGUAUCUGGAAUAUCAUGUGGAGCAACACAGAGCAUAAUAUGGAGUCAGACCUUAAUACAAGGAAUAUCAACAAAAAUUCCCUUUGUUAUAGAUCUAUCUGAACAUACUUUUAGAUUAUUGGACCAACUGCUGGGCAUGGUGUGUGGCCAAGAAGUUCGGCAGACACCCAAUCAAGAGUCAGAAUGUAUUGCGGUUGCUUGCUUAAACUUAUUACGGCUGCAACUUCAUGCUCUAAUCACAAACGGGAUAUCUCCUAAAACAGUUGGCUUACAUGAAGGUUCUAGGUUGCUGAUAAAUUUAAAAGGACGCAUACUUGGUUUAGCAGGUGGUUCAUGUAUCCUUAAAACUAUGCAAGAGGCUGCUCAAUGGGCUCUGCAAAUUGGUUGGAGUGUACUUCUUCCAACUGCUUCAGAGAGAGCUCAAACUUUGACAUCAUUAUUGCCAUCUGAUCCGGGUAUUUCAUCAUCUGGUCAUCGUUUUAUGACUGAUCUUCUCGUAGGCUCACUAAUGGCAGAAGGAGGACUAGAAAUAGCGCUUAAUCAAGCCAUUCGAUCGGAAACUUCUGAAUGCCCAGAAAGUGGCCAUAAUUUACCCCUUCUUCACUUAAUAAAACAACUACUUCGAAAUAAUUCCGCCCUGACGCAAGCACGUUUAUCACAGCUUUUAAUAAGUGCUGGAAUGAUCAAGACUGAUGACGACAGUGGGAUGACAUUACCAGAACACACAAGUCCUAGUCUGGAUCUUUUGCAUAAAUUUCAACGACUUCUUUUCUCAAACAUUCAUCAAUCUAAGGCAGACGACUCAUUAGGUGCAGAAGCUCUUUUGGUUAAAUACGUUCAAGGUGCUGUAUCAUUAUGUGUAAUGUCGCUUCAAAAAGCCCAUGAGAUUGCGUUGCAGGGCAAGGAUGGUGUAGUUGACAUACUAAAGUCAGAUAUUUCGGACACAUUAUUGUACGAAAUGCUCAUAGGAUUGGUUAUAUUGAAUCGUGACAAACCCAAUAUUUUGCAGGGCUUUGAAUGGACAAAAACAUUCAUACCACUUUUACAUGCUUUAGAUAACUUAAAUAGAGUCAUUUGUGAUAGUGACAUUCAGGAUUCUGAUGAUAUGGGUUGGCCAGGCAUUAUUUGCCGUGGAACACAAAAAACAUCUCCCAUCCAAGAAGAGCCAUUGCUUAUUAGAAAAAAUGACUUUGAAAAUCAGAUUACAGAUGGAGGAAAAUGGAUAAUAAUACAUGGUUUUGUGUGCGAUGUUAAUGAAUACCAAAGUGAUAUUCCUGCUGUUAAUGAACUUCUCGAAGCUGGAAUUGGAAAAGAUCUCACAUCUGAGUUUAAUGCACCGACCUUCAGACAUGCACUAGAGUACAUUAUGAACAAUUACAAAGUAGGAAAGUACGCGCCUAACAUUUCGGAUGAAAAGCCACAAUUACAUCAAAGUAAGGUGUUAACACAUUUCAACUCUGAGCGGGCGUUGUCAUUUUUACUUGGACUUUUAACAAGCAUUCUUCAAGCAGGACCUCCACUACAGCCUGCUGAACUGCAAUGCAAAACUAUUUUACGCUCAAAAAUUCUAAGUGGAGGUCUUCAGGUCCUGCAACCAACGAAUCCAUUUGACGAAGAAAAAGGUGAAGCUCGAAGCAGCGCUAGUACAGCUGGAAGCACUCCAACAGAACCCAGCAACCACCAAAUGCCUAGCUGCCUAGAUCCACCGGCGUUUAACUCCUUAAAUCAAAGAAUCGAAGCUCUUCUCAGUGGUCUUGGAGAAGCAAGACUUUCCGACCCAUUAGUAUCCGGAUGGAUGGCAGUAUCAGAAAGAUUUUGUAAGGAACAUAAUCUUAUUUGGCAUCAAGAAUUCCCUCCAGAGCAUUCAGUUCAGGAACUCGAACGAUUGCUAACAGCAGUACUUAUUCGACAUCAAAGUCUGGGCCCACUGAUUUUAGCAGUAAUUGAUAGAGAACUAGGUGGGUUGACAGAGAAACCUCCAAAACAGAUUACCGAAAUUAUUCGCCUGGUCCAUCAAACUAAAUGGGCAGUUGUGAGAACACGUCAACAGUUAAAUAGAAGCUACAAAGAAGUUUGUGCUCCUAUGUUGGAACGCCUAAGAUUUCUUUUGUAUGAAGUGCGUCCAGCAAUAAGCUUAGAACAAUCAGGCCUACGAAAGCUUUGCAUUCUUCACAAACUACCAAGAUUUAAAUCCGUUGUUAAAAGCAUAAUAUCUGAUAUGCGUACUGAAAAAAAACAACUGGCUUGUAACAAACCUGAAGACAUACUUAAUGUGACUAUUCAAAGCCAACAUGCUGCUCUAAAAAAUCAAUCCCAGGAGAACCUUCUUAGCGUUUCAUUUGCAGAACAAAUUGAUAAAGAAUUUGAAACUAACACAGGGGGUGGCAAUUCACCACUUCGCAAUAAUUUGUCAAAUGAAAAUCUUAUUGAAUCAGGGAAUGACAACAAUAUUUUUAGUGAAAGUGAUAAGAAACCCAUGGAAUUCGGGGACAAAAAAGCUGAUUCUCAGCAGGCUUUUGUUAACGAUGUCAUUCUUAAACUGAGUGAAAAGUUUCUUCAUGGAUUUGAUGGAGGUGAGCUUAGCAUGACAACAAUGUAUGAAAUCGUAGACUUUGUCAUGCAAGAGGUAUGCGAUGUGGAAACUGUUCGCCGUGCAAUGUACUGCCAGGUGCAACGAUAUCACAUUCGACGGCAAGGGCUCGAAAUUUUUUAUGAAAUACUGCAAGUGAAUGGAUUGCUUGAUGCAGUCCAGUACAAUAUGCUAAAUGGGUACUUAGGACUUCAUCUCAAACGGAACAAACAAACUACCAUUAACAUAUUAGAGGAUUUAAAUCUAAUAACUGCGUUUCAGAAGGCCAGUCUUAUAUUGACUUAUUCUAAAAUUUUAGACUGGGCAAUAAUUGAACUUCAAAAGCUUGUAAAUAAAGAGCAAAUCUCCAUGAAACCCAAAUUCCAUAAUGGAAAAGACAACUCUAACUUGGGGACUUAUGUAUUUUUAAAGAAAUUACCUAGAGCAAGAUUUCUUCUAAGUAUUUUUGGGAUUCUGGCAAAAGAUGUUGGGCACAAUGAGCUAAGUUUGCUUAUAAAUUCAGGAACACUCGGAACAAUUUUAGGAUUGUUACGCCAAACGGGUGGUGAUAUCCCUGCCAUCAAAAAUACGUAUGAGUUGUCAGUUGUUUAUGAAGACACAAUAUUGAAACAAAAAUCAAACAAAGCUAAUUUAACAGGACCUGAACUAGCAAAGCUAAUGAAAAUCGGAACUAGAAUUUGCCGAGGUGCAGACUGGAAAUGGAGUGAUCAAGAUGGUAUUCCACCUGGCGAAGGAAGAAUUAUAAGCGAAGUUGGAGAAGAUGGAUGGGUGCGUGUAGAAUGGUAUACUGGAGCAACUAACUCAUACCGCAUGGGUAAAGAAGGCCAAUAUGACCUUCGUUUGGCUGACAAUGCAUCGAACAUAGUUUCUCCGGACACAGAAAACACAGAGAAAGAUGAGUUGAUUGGUGAAAUUCAGCUCACAGGCGAAUCCCAUCCUACAAAACUUUUACGCUAUGCAUGCACAAAAAUGCUGCAAAUAAUAUCAGUAGGAGUUGGACAACACAGCGAAAAAAUUGACAAAGCCGCUGUAAAAGGAGUUACGUCUAUGUUUCGUGCUAUUUUAAAUCCAAAAUCUGGCCUUGGAAGCAUUUGUGGUCUUGACAGUUGGACAACGCUUGGAUUUUUGCGUGCGAUUGUUGGCGAAUCAAAAGUUAUGUCCAAAUUUUUGACUUCACCGAUUUGGAUACGUUUUUACAUUGACCUUCUAGAGCAGGCAACAACGAGUGAGCAAGAUGUUUUUAGAAAAAUACACUGUCUGCGACUGUUGCAAACUGUUUUGGUCAACUGGACAGAUGAAUAUAUUACUGAAACCACAAAAUUGGUGCAGCAGCUGUUUUCACUUCUUGGAAAAAUUACACUUUAUUGUCCAAACGAUGUGUCUUUGUUGCAAAAUCAGGCUGAUACAAAAUCAAGAGUUCUUCUCACAGCUUCGCAUUCCGGAACUGUUGCUGAAGAAAUUAUAACUCUUCUCCGAAAAUUGCAUACUCUACCCGUUUGGAAUCCUGUCAUAAAUUCAUUUUUAUCUCAGAAGCUUUGUGUAGCGGCGGAACUCUUUGGGGACGAUGGACUUGAAAUUACUAACCUAGAAUCAGAGAAUGUUCAUGUAAUGGGAGUACUAAGUACAAUUGGGGGAUGUGACACGCGGCCACGUGUAGGACUUCAAGUCUCAUACGAAGGAAGCACUGCCACAAUUUGUGGCUUUACGAAUAAAGGAAAGUGUCUUCUUAGCACAGAUGGAAACUCUCUUAAUGGAGAGUUUCGAAAAAUUUCACUAAAUACCGCAUCCGAAGGAGCAGACUACUCUGUCUUCAGUUUGUCUCGCCUUCCAAUGAACGAAAUGCUCUUAAAUUCUUGGUCAGUUUUAAUGUAUGGCCCAGGCGAGCGAAAAGAGUCUAUUCCUGGGACUGUUGAUAUUUCAUUGUUGCGAUCGCAACAGAUUCAAAUAUGUGUUCUCAAUUCAAAUUGCGUUCUCUAUCGACAUCAGGCAUCGUUAAGAAAGAUUUUAAGACAGCGUUCACCAGGAAUGAGUUCAUAUUCGUCAGAAGAGAGUAUUUCAGAAGAAGAAAUACAACAACAGGGAGCGAAGCUUAAUGUGAACGAUUUAAAUGUUGUUACUGACCAGACGCCGGCUGGUGAUGAAUCACCAUCUUCGUUGUCAGAAAACGAACUUCUUAUUCAAAGCAUCCUUAUUCGAGCGACACAACCUUCCCCACUGAAAGCUACAUAUACAUAUGCAGAACUCUCAACUGCUGCGUUAAAUGUCUCACAAAUGUUGGCAAGCCAAGCACAUUCGGAAUUGAUUGGCCCUGAAUCUCAGCACUCGCGAUCAUUACCUCCACCACUUCAACCUACUCUUGUCCACGGAGUACCUAUCUUCAACGAUGGGUGUUAUAAUGUAGCUGUAUCUACUGGAGAGGCCCAAGGAACUUGUUCCAUUGCUGCAGCGAAUAGAAACAAAACAGCGCCAUGUCCUUUGGUAUCACAAAUUAUGGAAAUGGGUUUUUCUAGAAAGUCUGUUGAGCUUGCUGUAAAAACUUUAACUGCUCAUACGGAAGUUCCACCAACUCCUGAGCAAAUUGUUCAAUGGAUUUUAGAGCAUCCAGAUAUUUGUCCACCAAUACCGUCAACAUCAAAGGGUAGUGUAUAUGAUACAGACGGAAGCGGUAUAAUGAAAAUUGGUCGUCACGACCCAGAAGCUGAUUCGGACAACGAUAGCACAGAUAGUAGUGAUACCGUAGAAGGUUCAUCAAUACAAGAUUCUCAUCAUACAGGUGGAACUAAAUUUGCGACUCGUAGAGAUUUUCAAUUUGCGGAUCAAUACGCGAUGUAUGUAAGGGGUCUGGUGUGUCCAGGAAUGAGCGUACGUUGUUGCCGAGAUUUUGAAGAAAUAAAAAAAGGUGACAUUGGAACUGUGCUUAAAGUAGAUACUGAAGGAUUGCAUGAUUUAAAUGUACAGGUUGAUUGGCGAAUGCAUGGUGACACUUAUUGGGUAUGCUUUGUACACAUUGAACUCCUCGAAAUGGCAAAAGAAAAAUCAACUCCAUUUGACCGGGGAAUAAUUGUUGUUGGCUCCCAAGUUCGCAUCCGCUCAACACCGCGAUAUAAAUGGGGCUACAUUACAAGAGGUGCAAUAGGAACAGUUGCUUCGAUAAGUGGAAAAGAUGUGACAGUAGACUUUCCACAACAACCUAAUUGGACGGGAAAUUUAAAUGAAAUUGAAUUGGUUAAUAUCGCUAGAGAUGGACACAUGAAUAGUGGGUCAUCAGGAAUUUUACAUGGACCUCCAACCGAUUUAAUAGAAGAUUGGUCACGUUGUAUUCGGUCCCUUACUGUGUCUUCGAAUGAAUCUAUGGCUAAGCAUUUGUUGGAUAGAAGUCCUAACUACUGGCAAAGUUCAUCAAGUAGCCAAGGAAAGCAUUGGAUUCGCAUUGAAAUGCAUGAAAACGUUCUAAUACACAGCUUAUCGAUUGUUGUCAAUCCGGCUGACUGUUCCCACAUGCCAUCGCUAAUUGUUACACGUGUUGGUGAUAGUAUUCCCAACCUUAAAGAAUACAGCUGGGUUUCUGUAAAAAAUAGCGAUGUUAAUGUGUCUCUCAUGAACGAUGUACGACAAUAUUAUCAAUACGUUGAAAUUGUUAUAAAACAUUGUCGAAACAAUGGAAUUCAAUGUAAAUUGCAUGGCAUAAACAUUAUUGGACGUCGGCGGCAAACAGACUUAGAUCUUAUGCUAAUGGACGCUGCUUUUUUGGCUUGCGAAUAUGACAGCUUGUCGAGCGAGUCAAGUUCUCUUGCCAAUUAUUCAGAAGCUAAAUCCUCACAAAAUGAACCGCCAUGUACGGUGAUGGUGUGGGGUUUAAAUGAUAAGGAACAACUGGGAGGGCUAAAAGGUUCGAAAGUAAAAGUCCCUACGUUCUCACAAACUUUAAGCCGAUUGCGCCCAAUUCAUAUUGCUGGUGGCUCUAAAUCUUUAUUCAUUGUAUCGCAGGAUGGCAAGGUAUUUGCAUGUGGUGAAGGUACAAAUGGAAGGUUAGGUUUGGGACAUAAUUGCAAUGUUUCGGUCCCGCGGCAAGUUCCAGUGCUGCAUCAAUAUGUGGUGAAGAAAGUUGCUGUGCAUUCGGGGGGCAAACACGCCCUUGCGUUGACAUUAGAUGGAAAAGUAUUUUCGUGGGGCGAAGGUGAAGAUGGAAAGUUAGGGCAUGGCAACCGUUUGACUAUGGAUAAACCAAAAAUGAUUGAAUCACUGCGGGCAAAGAAAAUACGUGAUAUAGCAUGUGGAUCAUCACAUAGCUCUGCUAUUUCUUCUUCAGGUGAAUUAUACACUUGGGGAUUGGGUGAAUAUGGACGGUUGGGUCAUGGUGAUAACACAACCCAACUCAAACCUAAACUAGUGUCAACUUUAAUUGGAAAACGUGUCAUACAGGUUGCUUGUGGCAGUCGUGAUGCUCAAACUCUGGCAUUAACCGAAGAUGGAGCGGUCUACUCUUGGGGUGAUGGUGAUUUUGGUAAACUUGGGCGUGGAGGUUCUGAAGGUUCCUCAGUUCCUCAUGAAAUUGAACGUUUAACUGGAAUAGGCGUAAUUCAGAUUGAAUGUGGUGCUCAAUUCAGUUUAGCACUCACUCGCACCGGAGAAGUUUGGACAUGGGGUAAAGGAGACUACUAUCGCCUAGGUCAUGGCAGCGAUCAGCAUGUGAGAAAACCAGCUCCCAUACAAGGGUUGCGAGGGAGAAAGGUGAUCCAUGUUGCUGUAGGUGCCCUGCACUGUCUAGCUGUGACGGAUAGCGGCCAAGUUUAUGCAUGGGGGGAUAACGACCAUGGACAGCAGGGGUCUGGAAAUACAGUUGUGAAUAAAAAGCCUGCUCUUGUAAUUGGCUUAGAUUCAGUUUUUGUUAACAGGGUAGCGUGUGGAAGUUCGCACUCUGUUGCUUGGGGUUUGCCACAAUCGCCUCCCGAAGAUGAAAAGAAAGGUCCAGUGCCUUUUGCAACAACUAAAGACCCACUUGGAGGCAGUAGCUUAGGAAUAUACGAUUCUGAGCCCUCACCAUCGACUUUGCCUUCUACAGUGGGCAAACAACAAUUAAAAUCCUCAUUGAGUGAAACAUUGCUUUCGCUAGAAACAUUUGGAGCUCGUCAAACAGCCCUAAAUUAUGUACUAAAUGCCAUGAGUAUUUUACAAGCACGACAACUGAUUGUUGCUGCUUUAACCAGCCACAGCAAAAUAAAUUUGAAUGAAAAAAUGUCAAACGAAGUUGAACAAUCUGAAGGUAUAAAAGAUCUAGAAAGAGUGACAAAUCCUAGCGUAGCUGCAAACAAUAAUAACAAUGACGUCAUAGCUCAAGGAGGUGGAGAAGCUCCUGCUGAUGCCACUGAUCCGGCAGUUCACGAGCCGUCACCGGAAGCGGAUGUUGCGCCUGCUCCAGCUGGUCCACUUAGUGCAUUCCAAAGCCUAACAGGGUCACUUUCACUUUCAGCAUCAAUAUCAAGUAAUGCGCCUCAUAAACAUUCAAAAAUGUCGGCAAGUGUAAUGUCAGUUAUGGCAGCAACAAUGACACAUCAUGUAGAAAUGAUUGCAGAGUCGAGUCUAACGGGUUUGGAUGAUUUUACUUCCUUGCUGGGAGAGGCAGAAGCCAAGAGUCUGGUUGAGCUUUUAAAACUAAGUGUUGCUGGAAGAACUGGUCCGCAAUCUACAUCGCAAACUAUAGCAGAUACUUUGAUAGCUUUGGGAUCAAAUUCACCGGUUAUCGGAGCGAUGCUUCUUGAAACUUGCAUUACUGAACUGGAAGACCUCUGUACUUCUAGACAUUGUUUAGGUAAAAUUCCAAAACCUGUGGUGCAAGAGAGCAGUCAUCCUUAUGUGGACAAUGUGACAGCUUUUGGUCACGUUAAGAUCCCGGGUGCUGAAGCUCUUCGCCUCGAAUUUGACCCUCAAUGUUCGACCGAGAAACGCAAUGACCCACUUGUUAUUAUGGAUGGAUCGGGUCGUGUUAUCGCAACACGUUCUGGUCGUGAGUUCUCUCAGUGGGCACCAGAAAUCCGAAUACCAGGGGAUGAAGUGAGAUGGAAAUUUACCAGCGACAGCUCUGUCAACGGAUGGGGGUGGAAAUUUUGGGUUCAUGCUAUAAUGCCAGCUGCUUCAAUGCAGGAAAAAGGAUCUGAUCGUUGCAUUUUAUCACAACCGUCAAUGCCCCUAGUAAUGGCUCUUUUAGAUUCAAGAUUAGGUCCCAACAACAACAGUGUGUUGUUGAGACUUGCAGCCGCAUUGGCAGCGUGUGCUCAACUCAGUUCUUUGACAACUGCUCAACGAAUAUGGUCGUUAAGAAAGCUACACUGCGUCCUUACAUCGAAGCAUGCACCAAAAGUAUUAGACCCUUCUCUGAAUCCUAUCCUAAUGCCUCUGAUUCCUGAAUUCCUGCGACAGUAUGAAUAUGAAGAGCCGCAAGUGCGAGGGGGAAUUCAUCUCAUGCACUCGGAUUACUUUAAGACGCUUGCUGCCUUAGCGUGCGACAUGCAACUUGACUCAGUUUUACCGCCAGCCGAUAUGCACAAAUGGGUUUGGUUCAAGCGCUAUUGUAUAGCUGUUCGAGUUGCACAAGCGUUAAUAAAGCGAACAGAACUUCCACGUGCAUUUUGCGUGGAAGUAAAAAAGAAAAUCUCUGAAAUGAUGCCACCACAGAAUACUUCACCAUCAAAUUCGGUAAUGAUGAACUCCACAAAUUCUCUGUCAUCGAGCACAACAAGCAAUGCAACACCUACACCUCCACCUUCAUUGCAGCAGCAGCAGCUACCUACUAACACAACCACUUCAAUGGUAAAUUCUCUAACACCAAGUACCAGCAAUCUGAUUCAGUACAUAGACUCGGUUAUGUCACUGUCAAUGCACGAUGUUGAUCAAAAGGUUAUCAAUGAACAAACACAGUUUUUGCAUGAGGAUCAUACUCUCUUCAAAGCUGAACAUGACAGCCAGCUUUUGCAGUGGCUGAAUCGUCAUCCGGAAGAUUGGGCACUAUCGUGGGGAGGAGCAAGCACUAUCUACGGUUGGGGCCACAACCAUAGGGGACAGCUCGGAGGUCUCGAAGGAAGUCGAAUUAAGGCGCCUACGCCGUGCGAGGCCUUGAGUUUAUUGCGGCCAAUACAGUUAGCUGGAGGAGAACAGACCCUCUAUGCAGUAACACCGGAUGGGAAACUUUUUGCCACUGGGUAUGGAUCCGGUGGACGACUAGGUAUAGGUGGUACUGAUUCUGUCUCGACACCAACAUUGGUGGAGUCCUUGCAACAUGUAUUUGUAAAGAAAGUGGCUGUGAAUUCAGGUGGAAAACACUGCCUUGCAUUGACAGCAGAUGGGGAAGUUUAUUCUUGGGGUGAAGGUGAAGACGGCAAACUUGGGCACAGCAAUCGAAUGAGUUACGAUAGACCUAAGCUAAUUGACGCACUAUCCGGUAUUGGAAUAGUUGACAUUGCUUGUGGCAGCGCGCAUUCAGCUUGUAUUACAUCAUCAGGACACGUUUUAACAUGGGGCAAAGGAAGAUAUGGUCGUUUAGGCCAUGGAGACUCUGAAGAUCAAUUACGACCAAAGCUAGUAGAUGCUUUACUUGGAUACAGAGCUGUAGACAUCGCAUGUGGUUCGGGAGAUGCACAAACUUUGUGCAUUACUGACGAUGACAAUGUGUGGAGUUGGGGUGACGGUGAUUAUGGAAAACUAGGUCGAGGUGGUUCUGAUGGAUGUAAGGUUCCAACAAAAAUUGAAAGCCUUUCUGGUUUGGGCGUGAUAAAAGUUGAAUGUGGAUCACAAUUCUCUGUAGCACUCACUCGGUCUGGAGCUGUUUAUACAUGGGGUAAAGGAGACUACCAUCGUUUGGGCCACGGGACUGUGGACCAUGUACGGAGGCCGAAGAAAGUUGCAGCUCUCCAAGGCAAAAAAAUAAUCUCGAUUGCUACUGGUUCUUUACAUUGCGUCGCAUGUAGUGAUACUGGUGAAGUAUACACGUGGGGUGAUAAUGAUGAGGGACAACUAGGCGAUGGCACAGUAAGCGCUAUCCAAAGGCCAAGGUUGGUCACGGCUCUGCAAGGAAAACAUAUUGUUAAAGUUACAUGUGGAUCAGCCCAUACACUUGCUUUGUCAACGUCGCAGCUUACAGAGAGAGUUCGUCCGCCACCAAACCCACCUUUGGAAUAUGAUCUCGUAAGAGACCUUCCAGCGGAGGCUCUUCAUGCGCGACUUGUAUUGUUGCAUCACUUUUCUGAGCUUGUUUGUCCAUGCCUUGCUAUGCUUCCGAUAGCUGGUGAGUUAAGUUUGGGAGCUUUGAAGGAUGUUUUAGUGUAUACAAUAAAAGAAGCAGCUUUCCGCAAAGUUAUUCAAACAACAAUGGUCCGUGAUAAGCAACAUGGUCCCGUUAUUGAAUUGAAUCGUAUUCAAGUUAAACGUUCACGUAACAAAUCCGGCAACGGGUUAGCCGGUGUUGAUGGUAUGAAAAGCGUUUUUGGACAAAUGGUACAGAAAUUGCCUUUAUUAACUCAAGAAGCACUUUCGUUGCCACAUAGAGUUUGGAAAGUAAAGUUUGUGGGAGAAAGUGUGGACGAUUGUGGGGGGGGAUACUCUGAGUCUAUUGCGGAAAUGUGCGACGAAUUACAAAACGGAAGUGUCCCACUUCUCAUUACUACCCCAAACGGGAGGGGUGAAGCAGGAGCCAAUCGUGACUGUUUCCUCUUGGACCCAAUGUUAACAUCAGUGCUGCAGAUGAAUAUGUUUCGAUUCUUGGGUGUCUUGAUGGGCAUAGCCGUUCGCACAGGUUCGCCUUUAAGUUUAAAUUUGGCUGAGCCAGUUUGGCGCCAAUUGGCUGGAGAAAACCUACGUGCUAGCGAUCUCACUGAAGUUGAUCGUGAUUAUGUAGCCGGACUUCUUUGUGUACGCAACAUGGAAAACGAUCCAAAAGUCUUUAGCACUCUCGAAUUGCCAUUCUCAACGUCGUCGGCCAAGGGCCACGAAGUGCCUUUAUCCACACGAUACACUCGUAUUACACCUCAGAAUCGUCACGAAUACGUGCGUCUUGCUUUAAAUUUCCGUCUGCAUGAAUUUGAUGAACAAGUUAAAGCUGUUCGUGAUGGAAUGUCGAAAGUGAUACCUGUUCCACUUCUUUCACUGUUUUCAGCGGCGGAAUUACAAGCAAUGGUUUGUGGAUCUCCCGAUAUUCCGUUAGGAUUAUUGAAAUCGGUUGCCACUUACAAAGGAUUUGAUCCAAACUCAGCGCUUGUUUCAUGGUUCUGGGAAGUUAUGGAAGAAUUUUCCAAUCAAGAACGAUCGCUAUUUUUACGUUUCGUUUGGGGUCGAACAAGACUGCCUCGCACUAUUGCUGAUUUUCGGGGGCGUGACUUUGUUUUACAAGUUUUAGAGAAAAACCCUCCUGAUCAUUUUCUACCGGAAAGCUAUACAUGUUUUUUUCUUCUUAAGAUGCCACGAUAUUCUUGCAAGGCUGUACUUCUUGAAAAACUUAAAUACGCUAUACAUUUUUGUAAGAGUAUUGAUACAGACGAAUACGCACGUGUUGCGAUGGGCGAUCCCACCGAAGCAACUGGCAGCGAAGACAAUAGCGAUUUGGAAUCUGUUGCUAGUCAUGAUGCUUAAGGACAGCUUUAAUGUACGAGCUCCCAAAACCGAAGCAUUCCGAUCACCUUAUUCACAUUUUAAACUGAACAUACAAAUACCCAAUCAAAGGAAAAAAUAUCCCCGGUGUAAGGUUUGACCCUAUAAAUGUUAACUACUAAAAAGAAAUCUCAUAGUAGCGUUAUUAUUCUAAUUUAGUUGGUUUCCUAUUUAGUUUAUUCGUCAACUGUUAAGAUAAAAUUGUAGUUUUUAACUGGAGUUAAAAUUAAAUACAAUUAAAAACCAUCUGCAUAAACAAAAAAAUAUUUAAAAUAAAAAAGACAAACAUAAUAUGAAUAUAACUACUCGUACGAUAAUUAAAUCACAUUUUUGAUAGAAUUGAUGUAGUUCCUCAUUUUGAUUUAUUAUUUAAUUUCUCAUAACUUGAAUUUAUUUUUGGAAAUAAAGAUUUUAAUAAAAAAUUUAAUAUACAUAUACAAACAUAAUACAUUUUACUAAAACCGUAGACUUAGAUGAAAAUUUAAGUGUUAUUGAAAGAUAGUAUUUUUUUGCAUUAUAAUGUUAAUAUUCAUAAAAAAAAUGUCUGAUUUAAAAAAGAUAUUUAAACCAAUCAUAAAUUACAAGUAAAUUUGGAAUCACAAAUUAGAAUUAAAUUACCCAAAAUAAAUUAUUUGAUAUAAGCCAUUUUAAGUUUAUUUAAAAUACUAAAGAAAACCCAUUUUAAAUUUGUGAGAACUGAUUUCCUGAAACGGGUGGCUUAGAACUUUUAUUUGCAUUUCCUGUGCAACUAGUAGCUUUUUGAUUAAUCAAUAGCUUAAUAAAAUUAAUGAUUAGAAAAUUUAGAAAACAAAAUGAUUAACAUCGUUUAAAUAUCAUUAAAUUAUAUCCAAAAAUCUUUUCCUUUCCUCUUUUCCAUCAAUUUCUGAAAUUGGUCAAAGCGUACAUAUUUACACAUUUACUCCUUACCUUAUUGUGUAGCAUUUCUUGAUUAAAAACAAAAAUAGUAAGAUAUUUAUACAAAUUGUAUUAUUUAGUUUCUCUUUUAUAAAAUACAAAAACACUGUAUUGUGAACAUAGUCUUGUAUCUAUUUGAAGUUAGCCAACAGCCUAAACUUUGUCUUGUAGAUGUAAUUUGUCAAUUUUGAAACAAUAAUAAUUAACUAAAUACAAAAACAUAUACAUCCAUACACACCAAAAAUAUUCGCCUUUUGAAGACUUGCUUCAAAGAAAAAUUUGUAUCUGAAUUUAAUGAUGUAAUUUUUUUAUUUAAUUGCAUUAAUGUUUAGUAAUGCAUAUUUGUAUUUAUUUUAAGUUACUUUCUAUUUAUUACUGUUUUAAUUUCAAUAAACUAAAAACCUAUACAAUAUACCCAAAUAUGUAUAACAAAUAUAUAA